UGUCUAUGGCCAUAUCACCCCGAACACACCCAUUCUCGUCUGAUCUCGGAAGCUAAGCAGGGUCAGGCCUGGUUAGUACUUGGAUGGGAGAUUGAUACAAAAUUAAAACAAUCCCAGUGUAAUAACAC
rnacentral:rRNA from 1 species